UUUUGGCUAAGAUCAAGUGUAGUAUCU
rnacentral:ncRNA from 7 species